rnacentral:rRNA from 1 species
UACGUAGGGUCCGAGCGUUGUUCGGAUUUACUGGGCGUAAAGGGCGCGUAGGCGGCAAUUCAAGUCAUCUGUGAAAUCUCCGGGCUUAACUCGGAACGGUCAGAUGAUACUGCUUUGCUAGAGUGCGGAAGGGGCAAUCGGAAUUCUCGGUGUAGCGGUGAAAUGCGUAGAUAUCGAGAGGAACACCUGAGGUGAAGACGGGUUGCUGGGCCGACACUGACGCUGAGACGCGAAAGCGUGGGGAGCAAACAGG